rnacentral:lncRNA from 1 species
CACUCUGUUGCCCAGGCUGGAGUGCAGUGGUGUGAUUUUGGCUCACUGCAACCUUUGCCUUCUGGGUUCAAGAGACUCUUAUGCCUCAGCCACCCCAUAGCUGGGAUUACAGGCACCCGCCACCAUGUCUGGAUAAUUUUUAUAUUUUUAAUAGAGACGGGGUUUCACCAUGUUGGCCAGGCUGGUCUGAACUCCCAGCCUCAAGUGAUCUGCCCGCCUCAGCCUCCCAAAGUGCUGGGAUUACAGGUGUGAGCCAUGUCGCUCGGCCAGGGAACUCUUAAGUAGAAUUUGAAAAACAGCAGCAGCAACAACGAUACACCUAGGGACAUUGGAGUCAAAUUGAUAAAACUAAAUAAAAAUACAAUGUUGAACAUGGUCAGAAAAAACAAGACCUUGCAUACAGGGGUGCAAAUAUUCAAAUGACCGUGGACUUAUAUCAGAAAUAAAUGAGGCCAGAAGACAGUGAAACAACAUCUUGAAAGCACUGGGAAAAAAAACCAGUCAAUCCAGAAUUCUGUAUCUAGUGAAGAUAUCUUUUAAGAAUAAAGGUGAGGCUGGGUGUGGUGGCUCAUGCCUGUAGUCCCAGUGCUUUGGGAGGCUGAGGCGGUGGGGGAUCACUUGACCUCAGGAGUUUGAGACCAGCCUGGCCAACAUGGUGAAACCCCAUCUCUAUUAAAAAUACAAAAAUUAGCUGGGUGUAGUGGCGCGCGCCUGUAAUCCCAGCUUCUUGGGAGGUUGAGGCACAAGAAUUGCUUGAACCAGGAAAGCAGAGGUUGCAGUGAGCUGAGAUUGUGCCAUUGCACUCCAGCCUGGGUGAUAGAGCGAGACCCUGUUGCAAAAAAAAAAAAAAAAAAAAAAAAGAAUAAAGGAUAAAGGUGAGGCUGGGUGUGGUGGCUUACGCCUGUAGUCCCAGCACUUUGGGAGGCUGAGGCUGGAGGAUCAACUGAGGUCAGGAGUUUGAGAUCAGCCAGGGGAAAAAGGUGAAACCCUGUCUCUACAAAAAAAUACAAAAAUUAGCCAGGUGUGGCGGUGUGUGCCUGCAGUCCCAGCUGCUCAGGAGGCUUAGGUGGGAGGAUUGUUUGAGCCUGGAAGGCAGAAUAUGAAGUGAAUCAAGAUCAUCCUGCCACUGCACUCCAGCCUGGGUGACAGUGCGAGACCCUGUCUCAAAAAAAAAAAAAGAAAAAAAAAAGAAAAGAAAAAGAAAAAAGAAUAAAGGUGAAAUAACGUGGACAUAAAGAUGGGAACGAUAGACACUGGGGACUACUGGGGGGAGAGGAAAGGGGGUGUGGGCUGAAAAACUACCCGUUGGGUACUGUGCUCACUACCUGGGUGAUGGGAUCAUCCGAACCCCAAACCUCAGCAUCACACAAUGCACCCACAUGACAAACCUGCACACGUACCCUCCAAAUCCAAAGUAAAACUAUAUAUAUAUAUAUAAAAAGGUGAAAUAAAAAUGUUUUUAGUUUUUAAAAAAACUAGGGGAAUUUGUUAGCAGCAAACCUGAGCUACAAGGAAUGCUAAGGGUACUUUAGGAGGCCAAGGUGGAAGGAUCGUUUGAGGCCAGGAGUUCAAGACCAGCCUGGGCAACAUAGUGAGAUCCCAUCUCUGUUGAAAAAAAUGCUAAAGGAAGAGUUCUGCAGGCUGAAGGGAAAUGAAACCAGAUGGAAACCUGGAUCUACAGGACAGAAUGAAGCUCGUCAGAAAUGGUAAAUAUGUGGAUAAGUAGAAAAGAUUACUUUUGUCCUCUUAAUUUCUUUAAAACAGAUAAUUGUUUAAAGCAAAAAUUAUAUUGUGUUAUGGGGUUUAUAAUUUCUGUAGGUGUAGUAAUUAUGACAACUAUAACAUAAAUAACAGGGGGUGUACAUGAGCCUAUAUAGUUGCAAGCUUUCUGCAUUUUAUGCAAAGUGGUGCAAUAUAAACUUUUGGCAGGCUAUAAAAAGUUAAGGGUGUAUAUUCUAACCCUAGGGCAGUAACUUAAAAAUAAGCCAAAAAGGUGUAGCUGUAAAGCAAUGGACAGGUUAAAAUGGAAUUCAAAAAUAUAUUCAGGUAAUCAAAAGGAAGGAAGAGAAACAGAAUUAAAAAAUAGAAGACAAACAAAACAGUAAAAUUACAGGCUUAAAUCUAAUUAUAUCAAUAAUUAUAUUAAAUAAGAAGGAAUAGCAUUGUAGUUAAAAGGCAGAGAUUGUCAGAAUAGAUAAAAAUGUUUGGGAGGCCGAGGCAGGUGGAUCACAAGGUCAGGAGUUUGAGACCACCCUGGUCAACAUGAUGAAACCCUGUCUCUACUAGAAACACAAAAAUUAGCCUGGCGUGGUGGUGCGUGCCUGUAGUCCCAGCUACUUGGGAGGCUGAGGCAGGAGAAUUGCUUAAACCUGGGAGAUGGAGGUUGCAGUGAGCUGAGAUCAUGCCACUGCACUCCAGCCUGGGUGACAGAGCAAGACUCCAUCUCAAAAAAAAAAAAAAAAAAAAAAAAAUUCCAAGGCCCAAUUAUAUGCUGUCUAUAAGCAACCUGCCUUUUUUUUUUCUUUUUUUUCUUUUUUUUUUUUUCUUUUAAGACAGGGUUUCGUUCUGUCACCCAGGCUGGAGUGCAGUGACACCAACACAGUUUACUGCAGUCUCCACCUCCCAGGCCCUCAUUUCUCAAUCUCCUAAGUAGCUGGGACCACAGGCAUGCACCACCAUGUCUGGCUAACUUUUGUAUUUUUUUUUAGAGACAGGGUCUCCCUUUGUUGACCAGGCUGGUCUCAAACUCCUGGGCUCAAGUGAUUUGCCUGCCUUGGCCUCCCAAAGUGUUGGGAUUAGAGGUGUGAGCCACCGUGCCUGGCCUAUAAGCAACCUACUUUAAAUAUAAAGACACAAAUGGGUUGAAAAUUGAUAGGAAAAGAUAUAUCAUGUAAACCUUAAGCAUAAGAAGGCUUAAUUGGCUUUACAAACAUUAAUAGUUUUCAAGACAAACAAUAUUACCAGAAAAAGGAAUCUUUUAUAAUGAUAAAAGGUCAAUACAUUAUGAAGUUGUGAUCAUUGUAAAUGUGUAUAUACCUAAUAACAGAGCCCCAAAACACAUAAAGUAAAAAUGGACAGAAAAAAAGGGUGUGACUGGAGGUUGAGGGUGGAAGACUUUUUUUUAAAUUUCAAUUUUAUACUUCAUAUGGUUUAAAUUUUAACACCAAAUGUGUAUUCUGCCAUCAUCAUCAUCAUCAUCAAAAGAGUGAAAAUAAUAUUUGAGCCAAGUCUUAAAAGAUGACUAAGAAUUUUUCAGAAAGGUGGUAAGGGAGGGCAUUCCAGGCAAAGGUCAUAUGUGUGCCAGCACAGGGAGGCAUGAAAUUGCCUGAUGUGUUCUGGUCCUGCAGUUUUUUGGCAAGUCUGAAAUAUAGGAUUGGGUUGGUAUUACUGAGGAGGAAUGGGAGAUGAGCAACAGACAAGUAGAAGCCAGAUGUGGAAGGGGCUUAUCAGUGUGCUCAUUUGAACUUUAUCUUGACAGUCAUGGAUAGUCACUAAUGUGUUUUUCAAAGGGAGGAUACAGGAUUUUCUCUGGGCUUUAGAGAGACAAUUCUGACUGCAGCUUAGAGAAUGGUUUAGAGGAGACCAGAGUGAAGGCAGAGUAACUUCUGGGAGAUGCUGUAGUAAUGCAGAUUAGAAAUGCUGGGGGCCUAAACCAGGAAAGUAGAGCAGAGAUGGAGAAAAAACAAGUGUGGUUUUGAAAGGUAUGUAGGGACCAGGCACAGUGGCUCAUGCCUGUAACUCCAGCACUUUGGGAGGCCAAGCCAAGUGGAUCACCUGAGGUCAGGAGUUUGAGACCAGCCCAGCCAACAUGGUGAAACUCCGCCUCUACUAAAAAUACAAAAAUUAGCCAGACAUGGUGGUGCAUGCCUGUAAUCCCAGCCACUCAGGAGGCUGAGGCAGGAGAAUCAUCACUUGAACCUCAAGAGGCAGAGGUUGCAGUCAGCCGAGAUCAUGCCUUUGCACUCCAGCCUGGGUGACAAGAGUGAAACUCCAUCUCAAAAAAAAAAAAAAAAAAAGGAAAGAAAGAAAAAUAAAGGUACAUAGUAAGCAAAAUAAUGAGAAUUUUGCAAUUCUGGAUCUAAGUGAUGAGAGACAUUGACAUCUAUUAACUCCUGCAAGUUUAGUCUCAUGAAACCACUUAGUGACACGAUACUUUAUUCCCAUUUCCAUAAAACAAUAUUGACAUAAUGAUAUCUACCAUUUAAAAAGUUUAUUUUAUUCAAUGCAAUCCCUAUAAGAAUCUCAACUGGUUUCUUUAUGUAAUAGAAAUGGACACACUGCUGAUCCUAAAAUUCAUGUGAAAAUCAAGGGACUUAAAAUAGCCAACAUAAUCUUGAAUAGAAGAAAAAUGUUUGGAGGACUUAAACUUCCUGAUUCCAAAACUUACUACAAAGCAAAGGUAUUCAAGACAGUGUGGUACUGGCAUGAGGUUAGACAUAUAGAUCAAUGGAAAAGAAUUGAGAGUCCAGAAAUAAAUCCAUAUAUUAAUGGUAAAUUGAUUUUUCAACAAGGGUGCCAAAAGCAUUCAGUGGCAGAAAAAAAUAGUCUCUUCAAUAUAUGGUGCUGGGACAACUGGAUAUCUAUAUGUGAAAGAAUGAAGCUGGACCCCUACCUCACACCAUAUACAAAAAUUAAUUCAAAAUGGAUCAAAGACCUAAAUGUAAGAGCAAAAACUAUGAGAUUCUUAGAAGAAAACAAAUAAGUAAUUCUUUAUGACCUUGGUUAGGCAAAAUGGUUUCUCAGAUAUGACACCCAAAGCAUAAGCAACAAAAUAAAUAUAGAUAAAUUGGACUUCAUCAAAAUUAAAAAUUUGUAUGCUUCAAAUGACACUAAUAAGAAAGUUGGCUAGGCUUGGUGGCCCAUGCUGUAGUCCCAGCACUUUGGGGGGGCUGAGGUGGAAGGACUGCUUGAGGCUGAGAGUUUGAGACCAGCCUGGACAACAUAGCAAGACCCUGUCUCUCAAAAAAAAAAAAAUUAGCCAGGUGUGUGGUGCAUACCUAUAGUCCCAACUACCCUGGAGCUAAUGUGGGAGAAUCACUUGAGCCUAGGAGUUUGAAGCUGCAGGGAGCCAUGAUUGUGCCACUGCACUCCAGCAUGGGUGACAGAGGGAGAUGCUGUCUCAAAAACAAAAAACAAAACAAAACAAACAAGAAAGUGAAACGACUAAACAAUGGCAGAAAAUACGUGCAAAUUGUACCUCUAAUAAGGGACUUAUAUCUAGAAUACAUAAAGAACUCUU